GUAAUUAGCAUGUUUUGUUCAUCGUUCAGGAUCGACUUGCGAUUUAGUUGUAUUGUAAAUCCAUUAUCAAGCAAUAACCGAAUUUUGCCAUCAUAGAUAGUAGAAUUGUAAGAACGUGAGACAGAUAUUCCACGAAGCUACCGUCGACACAUGUAGCGCCA